AGAGUUUGAUCCUGGCUCAGGAUGAACGCUAGCGAUAGGCUUAACACAUGCAAGUCGAGGGGCAGCAUGGUCUUAGCUUGCUAAGACUGAUGGCGACCGGCGCACGGGUGCGUAACGCGUAUGCAACUUGCCUCACAGAGGGGGAUAACCCGUCGAAAGACGGACUAAUACCGCGUACACUUAUCGGAGGGCAUCCUUCGGUAAGGAAAUGAAUUUCGCUGUGAGAUAGGCAUGCGUCCCAUUAGCUAGUUGGUGAGGUAACGGCUCACCAAGGCGACGAUGGGUAGGGGAACUGAGAGGUUGAACCCCCACACUGGUACUGAGACACGGACCAGACUCCUACGGGAGGCAGCAGUGAGGAAUAUUGGUCAAUGGGCGAGAGCCUGAACCAGCCAAGUCGCGUGAAGGAUGACUGUCUUAUGGAUUGUAAACUUCUUUUGUAGGGGAAUAAAGAGGGGCACGUGUGCCUCAGUGAAUGUACCCUACGAAUAAGCAUCGGCUAACUCCGUGCCAGCAGCCGCGGUAAUACGGAGGAUGCGAGCGUUAUCCGGAUUUAUUGGGUUUAAAGGGUGCGUAGGCGGCCUGUUAAGUCAGCGGUGAAAUCUAGGAGCUUAACUCCUAAAUUGCCAUUGAUACUGGCGGGCUUGAGUGUAGAUGAGGUAGGCGGAAUGCGUGGUGUAGCGGUGGAAUGCAUAGAUAUCACGCAGAACUCCGAUUGCGAAGGCAGCUUACUAAGGUACAACUGACGCUGAAGCACGAAAGCGUGGGUAUCAAACAGGAUUAGAUACCCUGGUAGUCCACGCAGUAAACGAUGAUAACUGGGCGUAUGCGAUAUACAGUAUGCUCCUAAGCGAAAGCGUUAAGUUAUCCACCUGGGGAGUACGCCGGCAACGGUGAAACUCAAAGGAAUUGACGGGGGCCCG
rnacentral:rRNA from 1 species